rnacentral:rRNA from 1 species
GAUGAACGCUGGCGGCGUGCUUAACACAUGCAAGUCGAACGGAGAGGCCCAAGCUUCCUUGGGGACUCGAGUGGCGCAGGGGUGUGAAACACGAGUGUGAUCUGCCCAGCACUUCGGGAUAAGCCUGAGAAACUGGGUCUAAUAGCGGAUAGGACCACAUUUUGGGUUGUGUGUUGGAAAGUUUUUCGGUGUUGGAUUGGCUCGCGGCCUAUCAGCUUGUUGGGGGGGUAAUGGGCUACCAAGGCGUCGACGGGUAGCCGGCCUGAGAGGGUGAACGGCCACACUGGGACUGAGACACGGCCCAGACUCCUACGGGAGGCAGCAGUGGGGAAUAUUGCACAAUGGGCGCAAGCCUGAUGCAGCGACGCCGCGUGGGGGAUGACGGCCUUCGGGUUGUAAACUCCUUUCGCUAGGGACGAAGCGCAAGUGACGGUACCUGCAGAAGAAGCACCGGCUAACUACGUG